UACGUAGGGGGCAAGCGUUGUCCGGAAUCAUUGGGCGUAAAGAGCGUGUAGGCGGCCAGAAAAGUCCGCUGUGAAAACUCGAGGCUCAACUUCGAGCUGUCGGUGGAAACUUUCUGGCUAGAGUCCGGAAGAGGAGAAUGGAAUUCCUGGUGUAGCGGUGAAAUGCGCAGAUAUCAGGAAGAACACCUAUGGCGAAGGCAGCACUCUGGGACGGUACUGACGCUGAGACGCGAAAGCGUGGGGAGCGAACAGG
rnacentral:rRNA from 1 species